CCUACGGGUGGCAGCAGUGGGGGAUAUUGGACAAUGGGGGGAACCCUGAUCCAGCGACGCCGCGUGAGUGAAGAAGCAUUUCGGUAUGUAAAGCUCUGUCAGCAGGGAAGAAAGCAAUGACGGUACCUGACCAAGAAGCCCCGGCUAACUACGUGCCAGCAGCCGCGGUAAUACGUAGGGGGCAAGCGUUAUCCGGAUUUACUGGGUGUAAAGGGAGCGUAGACGGUGAUGCAAGUCAGAAGUGAAAGCCCGGGGCUCAACUCCGGGACUGCUUUUGAAACUGUGUGACUGGAGUGCAGGAGAGGUAAGCGGAAUUCCUGGUGUAGCGGUGAAAUGCGUAGAUAUCAGGAGGAACACCAGUGGCGAAGGCGGCUUACUGGACUGUAACUGACGUUGAGGCUCGAAAGCGUGGGGAGCAAACAGGAUUAGAUACCCUGGUAGUC
rnacentral:rRNA from 1 species